rnacentral:rRNA from 1 species
GACGAACGUUGGCGGCGUGCUUAAUACAUGCAAGUCAACUGAAGCAGUGGUAGCAAUAUCGCUGUGGAGGUGGCGCACGGGUGAGUAACACGUAGGUAAUCUGCCUUCAGGUCUGGCAUAACUCCGGGAAACCGGGGCUAAUAGCAGAUGAUGCAGCGGCUCGACAUCGAGACAGUUGUUAAAGCUGUGGCGCCUGAAGAUGAGCCUGCGUCUGAUUAGCUAGUUGGCGGGGUAACGGCCCACCAAGGCAACGAUCAGUAGCUGGUCUGAGAGGAUGAUCAGCCACACUGGAACUGAGACACGGUCCAGACUCCUACGGGAGGCAGCAGUAAGGAAUAUUGCUCAAUGGGAGAAAUCCUGAAGCAGCAACGCCGCGUGAGGGACGAAGGGCUUUUGCUUGUAAACCUCUGUAGUGAGAGAAAAAAAUCCCAAUCUUUGGGACAUGAUGGUAUCUCAAAAGUAAGCCCCGGCUAACUACGUG